rnacentral:lncRNA from 1 species
UCUUAAACAUUUCUGGAUCAAAUGCAUUAUUCAUCACAUCAUGGUAUGUGUUUUUCACUAUAGUUGCAAUAGAAUUUGUAGCAUCGCAUAUAAUAAUAUCUUCUGAUAAUGCCACAACAAAUUUUCCAUCACCAAGACUUUGUCCGGCAGUACCGUCACCUAUUUUAAGUAUCCAUUCUGCAAAUUCUUUGGUUUCUUCAGCAUCCGAACCAGAAACAUUUGACUGAAACCAAAAUGUACUUUUGUCAAAUGAUUAUUCAUUUAUUUUAUGUACAAAGAAAGACAAUUAAUCAACCAAUGGCGCUUUAUUCUUCAUCCAGAUAACAAUGUUGUUUUGUAGAUGUCGCAGCCCGAUCCCGAAGCUAGUGAUAGGGGGUACGAGUAUCGAUAGAUAUUUUAAAAGAAUAAAAGACAAGAAGAAUAGGUCGAACAUCAAGCGGAAGCUUACAUGGAAAAGUGUUAAGGAAAAUCAUCAUAAAUUAACUCUAGGGGUAUAAACGUCAACAUCGUCAUAACUCCAUAAAUAUCAGGAAUUUCAAGAUAAAAAACAAAGCAGGGAUAGCUUAUUUUUCAUAAGGAAAUAAUAUGAGAGUAUCGCAGCAAAAGCGAACCGAUUAUAUGUAUGAAGACACAUAACCGUGAGUAUAUUACUUGAUUCAAAGAAAAUAAGUAUUUAAUCAUCAAGACUCUAUAAUCAUAACGCAAUAUUAAAUAUGAACACAUCGAUUGAAACGUUCCCCCACCAGCACCAGACCAAUCUCCUCCCGCUUAGCUGACAUUUAGAAAUAUAUGCAGGGCGUGAGUACAUAAUACCCAGUGGGCAAACGCCGCAAAAUAAGAAAGGUGCUCUUAGAGCUAUAGGUUUGCAACUUGCCACAUCUCAGCAAUGCACAGGAAUAAAGUUAGCGUAAAUGAAUCUGUGCAUGCAGUUUUAAUAAUAAACAUCAUAAAUAUGUGUCUGCAGACAAGUAAUUGACAUGUAUGUACCGCAUCUACAACUCAUCAUCAUAAACAAGGUACUGAGAAGUAGGCCUCCUUCUCAAGCACCGUGACCGGCCGACCCGAAGACGGCUCACAGUCACCUCUGUGUACACAACCCCGCUAGUAGCAGGAUCCGAAUUCGUCUUAUCUCAUCAGUAGAGGGUAACAUACAAGCUCAACAUCAAAAAUUGGCAAGUCAAACAGUUCUCAAACAUCAUUUAUCUCAACAUUUGCUCGAUUCUGGCUAUCAUCAUCAAAUCAUUUUAGAGGCUCAUACGAUAUACGUAUACUCAAAAUAUUGCCCACCUGAAGACCUUACUCAAAAUCUCCCGUCAAAGCGGAGUUACUUACUUCUUGCUCUGCUUGUGUC